ACCCGCUGAACUUAAGCAUAUCAAUAAGCGGAGGAAAAGAAACCAACAGGGAUUGCCUUAGUAACGGCGAGUGAAGCGGCAACGGCUCAAAUUUGAAAUCUGGCCUCUUUGGGGUCCGAGUUGUAAUUUGCAGAGGGCGCUUUGGCGUUGGCAGCGGUCCAAGUUCCUUGGAACAGGACGUCACAGAGGGUGAGAAUCCCGUACGUGGUCGCUAGCCUUCGCCGUGUAAAGCCCCUUCGACGAGUCGAGUUGUUUGGGAAUGCAGCUCUAAAUGGGAGGUAAAUUUCUUCUAAAGCUAAAUACUGGCCAGAGACCGAUAGCGCACAAGUAGAGUGAUCGAAAGAUGAAAAGCACUUUGGAAAGAGAGUCAAACAGCACGUGAAAUUGUUGAAAGGGAAGCGCUUGCAGCCAGACUUGCCUGUAGUUGCUCAUCCGGGCUUUUGCCCGGUGCACUCUUCUGCGGGCAGGCCAGCAUCAGUUUGGGCGGUUGGAUAAAGGUCUCUGUCAUGUACCUCUCUUCGGGGAGGCCUUAUAGGGGAGACGACAUGCAACCAGCCCAGACUGAGGUCCGCGCAUUUGCUAGGAUGCUGGCGUAAUGGCUGU
rnacentral:rRNA from 1 species